rnacentral:lncRNA from 1 species
UUCUUCGUUGUUCUCCAUUUAUCUGCAUAAUUCAUUAAAAUCAAAAUCUUGUGUUUGUGCGUGCUUUGUUAAUUCAAUAUUGAAGCGAUAUAAUUAUGUUUUGUGGAUGAAGUACCUGGUGUUGGCUCCUUGGGCAAUUCAAGAAACUUAUUCGUUCAUUGUGAGCGAUGAAAGUGAGAGGGAUCUUUCACAUUUUCUUAUAUUCCCAUUCUUAUUAUUAAGAAUGCUGCAUAAUCAAAUAUGNCUUUCCCCCUCUCAAGUAUCUCAUGUAUACGCCUUCGUAAGUAUAUUUUUACCCUCUUAUUUCUUAUGAUAAGUGAAAAUGAUGUUAAGUGUACAAAAAGUGCUUAUUUAUAAGUAAAUAUGUCUUAUGAUUGAGCAUAAACACUGAGAGAGCUAAGCCACCCUUAGAUGGUAAGUUUUAAUACAAACUAGUUCUUCAAUGUAUUGGAACACUAAUUUGUUAUGAUUUUCAUAUUAAAGAACUGAAUUCAUCUGACUGCAUUAAUAUCUGGCGGUGUAUACAGGUUCCACUCUCUGCAUCACACUCAAUUUCGAACCAACUACUCCCUCUUCAUGCCAUUUUAUGAUUUUAUCUAUGGAACGACGGACAAAUCCUCAGACUCGCUAUAUGAAAGUUCACUUGAUAGAAAAGAGGACAAAGCUGAUGUAGUUCAUCUAACGCAUCUAACUACCCCUGAAUCCAUAUAUUAUAUGCGUCUAGGAUUUGCAUCCCUGGCCUCUAAGCCUCACAGUUCGACGUGGUACCUUUGGUUAAUAUGGCCUGUGACACUUUGGUCGACGAUGGUAACUCGGAUUUAUGGACGCACAUUUACGGUUGAGAGAAAUGUCUUCAAACAUCUAAAGUUACAAACAUGGGCCAUUCCAAAAUAUAAGAUCCAGGUAAGGAGCUAUGUAGGCAUCAAUUUAUAUAAAGACAUGCAUGUAAUUUAAAUAUUUUUGACAUUAUUAAUUUCAUGCUGGUGAAGUAUUACAUGAAAUCGCAAAGAGAAUCAAUCAAUAGUUUGAUUGAGGAUGCGAUACUGGCAGCUGAUGAAAAGGGCAUUAAGGUGUUGAGCCUUGGUCUACUGAAUCAAGUAAGUUAAAGCUCUAUAGUCCCUUAGAAAUACUUCCACUUUCAGAUCAGCAAAGAGUCAAAUGUUAAUUCUGUAUGCUCCAUAAAUAUUGAUCACAGGAAGAAGAACUAAACGGAAUUGGAGAGCUUUUUGUAAGAAGACACCCCAAGCUAAAAGUCAAGCUGGUAGAUGGAAGCAGUUUAGCUGUUGCUGUUGUCCUGAAUAGCAUUCCAAAAGGAACAACCCAGGUGGUCUUUCGUGGAAAUCUGUCGAAGGUUGCUUACUCCAUUGCCCUUGCUUUAUGCCAAAGGGAAAUACAGGUGUGUUUGAGAAGAAAAAGAAGCAACAGAUUUUGAUUCUAUAUGCGUGACCAUGGCAAAUAUAUAUGGACAUACAUGGGCGACAAAAUUUGAUAAAAUCGUGUUUAGUUGCAUUGCAGUAGAAGAUAAUGUUUUCUCAUAUCUUUAGGCUUUUCUUGCUUGUCGUAAUUACUAGGUAAACGUAAUACGUGAGGAUGAGUACAACAAGCUUAAAGCAAGGCUCAGCACUGAGGCUGUAAAAAAUUUGGUCCUGUCUAAAAGCAAUGCUCCAAAGGUUAGAUUUCUUCUCCUUCUCUCUUCUGCAUACAUUUUUUUUUAUAAACAUAUAAUAUUAAAACUUAACUUCAUUUGCUAUAGUAAUUGUUGACUUGACCUAAUACAAAAUGUUAUAUUUACAGAUAUGGAUAGUAGGAGAUGGACUGAGUAAGGUUGAACAAUUAAGGGCAUCAAAAGGAACAGUAUUCAUUCCAUUCUCACAAUUUCCACCGAAGAAAUGGCGCAAAGACUGUUUCUACAACAAUAUACCAGCGAUGUUGGCUCCUAAGCAUCUUCAAAAUGUUGACUCUUGCGAGGUACGUAUACUAGGGAUAGAAACUUAAUUUCUUCAUCAUUUUAUUCUGUUUUUUCCAUGUGAAGUUUAUUCUUGUAUUCGUAUGACAGAAUUGGUUGCCAAGAAGGGUAAUGAGCGUAUGGCGUAUAGCGGGAAUAUUGCAUGCUUUGGAAGAUUGGAACGUGCACGAGUGUGGAAAAAUGAUGUUCGACGUUGAUAAAAUCUGGCAAGCCAGUCUUGUCCACGGUUUCAGUCCUAUUAUGAUGUCCACGUCCACCGACUCAAAGCCAUAUUAGACUAAAUUAUGAACUCUGAGUUCAAGUGCUGGGAACUUUGGAUGUGUAUAUGAUGGAAAGAAUGUGGAAUAAAAUGGAACAGCAAUUUGACAGGAGAGUGAAAAUAUAUGUAUCAUUUCGUGUGCUUAAGUGAUAUCUAAAGUGAAAAAUAAAUGUGCUGAAGAGUUUAACGUGUAGUAUACAAAAGAUUAUUACAACUAAAAUGCAGAAUAAUAUACUCUCAAAGUGUAAAAUCGAACCAAACUCAACCCAAAGCUUCUUCAACACCACCAAUGAAGUGUUCUUGAUAUUGAACUCAGAUUUGUGUCACACCGGAUCAUGCACCGUCGUCCACGAGAAUGACAAUGGAUAUACCGACAAAAGAUCCGUUGGAAGCCACCAAGAAUUUCGUCGGAGUUAUGGAAAGCUCCCAUUUAGUUACCUCUCUAUACUCUCUCUCAAAUGUUAUGCCAAGUCCAAGUAGAGAGAAUGAAGAUGUCUUAAAAUUAUAGAGUCAAUUCAUUUGAAUUCAAAAUUCAAAUAUUGUACUAUGGUCUAGAGAGUGACCACACUAGUAUAGGUAAUUGACUACUAGAUUAAAUCCAAAUCCAACAAUUGGAUUUAAUCUAUAAUCCAUAUCACCUCAUAACUAGCACAAUACAACUCACAUUCUCUAGAGCAAUCAACUUGCACCAAUACUAUGUUGUGAUCCACCUUUCAAAUCUUCACCUUGAAUUACAUAACAUUAGGGGUGUCAAAAAGGCUCUGCUCGAAAAAAGCCCGAGCCCGCCCGGCUCGUGGCUCGUGGCUCGUAGGGAUCGAGCCUAGGCUCGGGCCGAGCCUCAAAAUAAGAGACCGGCCCGAGCCCGAGCAAGCCCGUGUGGCUCGACGGCUCGUGUCACGGGCCAAAAAUGGCCCGUGACAAAAACGCUCGGCCCGAGCAAAUAAAAGAAAAAAAAAUUUUGAAAAAAUUUUUUUUUUACCUGCUGCCUAAGGCAGCAGGUCACAGGCAGCUAUAUAGCUGCCGAUUUUUUUUUCGUAUUAGACUAUUAGUACAUUAUACUGUUAUCUUUUUGAAAUUCAAAUUUGAAAAAUAAUGCGGGUUUUUUUAUCUAUAAAUACGAGAUGAUUUUUGAAGUUUUAAAUCACUUUGCUAUCGAUUUUAAUUCGCAUUAUUUCUAUAUCAUAGAUUCAGAUUCAAGUUUCAAUUUCUUCUUUCUCACUUCUCAUAUAACAAUAUAUUCAAUUUCUUUCACUUUACAGUCUAAUAUUCAGUAUUUUUUAUUUUACUAGUUAUUAUGGAUUUUACAAGUGAUGAAGUUAAUCAGUUUGGCGGUAGUUCGAGUACUCCAUCUAACUCCGAUGCAUGUGAAAAUGUUCCAAUUAAUUUGGAAGAUAUUGAAGAGGAAGAAGUUCAAGUACUCGAGACAAAAAGGUCAAAAAAAGAAUCAUCGGACUGUUGGCAACAUAUGACACGAAAAAAAUUGGUGUUCAAAAUGGAGUAGAUAUUUGGAAAGCAUGUUGCAAUUAUUGUGGCAAAGAACUUAGUUGGAAGCCUGGCUCGAACACAACGCAUUUGAAUAGACACGUAUUGAGGAGUUGCAAAGCAAAACCAGCCGAUCUCGAUUCGAAACAAACCGAACUAGUGUUUGGCGGUUAUAAUUCUACUCUUUCCACUUUUGUAUAUUCACAGGAAAGAUUUCGUGAAGGAAUGGCUGCAUACGUGGCUGCAGCAAAGAUGCCGCUUACGAUGAUAGACUCAAUACACUUUACCCGACUCGUGCAGAAAUAUCUCCAACCGAUGUAUUCUUCUUAUUCUAGAAAUACUCUUCGUUCGGAUAUCAUAAAAUUAUAUAACAGAAGAAAACAAAUUACUAUUGAAGGUCUAAAAAGUUUUAAUAGUGUUAUAUCGUUUACUUCUGAUUUAUGGACUGGUUGUAAUAGAAAAGGUUAUAUUGCUGCUACGGCUCAUUAUAUUGAUCACUUGUGGCUUCUACAUAAAAGAAUUAUUGCUUUUAGAUGUGUAGAAUUUCCCCAUAAUGCCACUAAUAUAUACAUGGUUUUAAAAGAUAUCAUACAGAAAUAUGGUAUACAAGAUAUGGUUCGAAAUUUUACUUUUGAUAAUGCUGCAGUGAACAAAGUUGUUAUUGAAAGAUUUAUUGCUGAUCUUAAUCCCGUAUUUGGAAAUUUAUUUUUUCAUCAACGUUGCGUAUAUCAUAUUAUUAAUUUGAUUAUAAAAGCUGGAUUAGAACAUAUAAGUUCACCUUUAGAUAAAAUUAGACAAGCAAUAAAUUUUAUUACUGCAUCACCAGCAAGAAAACAAGCAUUUAAUAGUUUGUGUGCAGAGUAUGGAUUACAGGAGAAAUCAUUUGCCACUGAUGUAACACACAUGUGGAACUCUACAUAUCUUAUGUUACAUUGUGUGAAAAUUACGAUAAAGUGAUUUCACUAUAUUAUAAUGGUAGACAUACACUCGGACCCGAACAUAAUUUGGAAGAUUGGGAAUGGACUAUUGCAUUUUACGUGAAAAAAUUCCUACAACCUUUUUUCGAUGCUACAAAGGAAUGUAGCGGUGUUUAUUACCCUACACCUUCUCUUGUUUUACAACAUUUUUUCUACAUUUCACAAGCAUUUCAUAAAUAUAGGAAUUUGCCACUUUUUGCUGAUGUAGUCCGCUCUAUGGAGUUAAAAUUUUGUAAAUAUUGGGAAGAGUUGCCUUCUUUAUUUCUUUUAACUUCAGUAAUGGACCCUCGACUUAAUUUAACUGGCACAAAAACUACUGUAAAGGGGAUAUCAGAUUUUUUGAAUAUAGAAUUAUCACACGUGCAUAUAGAAUCUUUUUUAUGUGAAAUGUAUAAUUAUUAUGCUGAAAAGGAAGGUCAGCGUAGUUCUAAUUCUCAAAGUUCUUUUUCAAGAAAUAUUUCAACAAAUCCCGAAAAUUUAUGGAAUUAUUUAGAUAGCAAUACAAGUGCUCCUUCAUUUAGUUCUAGUUCUAGCUCAUCAACAUCUAGAGCGAUCAAUAUUGGUGGUACAAAUCUUGAAAUUCCUUCUGAGUUAGCUAGGUAUAUGUGCGUGGAUAUUCGUAGUGUGUUGCAACCGCACGAAUUACAAGAAUUUAGUCUUUUAAAUUGGUGGAGAUGUAACGAAAGGCAAUAUCCAAUUGUAUCAAAAAUUGCACGUGAUCUACUAACACCUCCGGUGUCUACGGUAGCAUCGGAGGUUGCAUUCAGUUUAGGUGGUCGAAUUUUAUCAGAUGAACGAUCAAGACUAAAAGAAGAUAUAUUGGAGGCUUUGAUAUGUUUGAAGGAUUGGGAAUAUGCAGAAUUACGUGUUCAAGAACAUGUUGAUAGUAUAAUGGCCGAAGAGUUGCAGCAUAUCCAAACAUAAGAUGUUGUAAGUUUUUAAAUUAAUUAUUUUNNNNNNNNNNNNNNNNNNNNNNNNNNNNNNNNNNNNNNNNNNNNNNNNNNNNNNNNNNNNNNNNNNNNNNNNNNNNNNNNNNNNNNNNNNNNNNNNNNNNNNNNNNNNNNNNNNNNNNNNNNNNNNNNNNNNNNNNNNNNNNNNNNNNNNNNNNNNNNNNNNNNGAGCCGGCCUGAGCCGAGCCGGCUCGGCUCGUAAAAAACCCGAGCCAAAAGCUCGGGCCGAGCCUUAUUUUUUUUGGCGAGCUUUUGCUCGGCUCGGGCCCAAAAAAAGCCCGUUGUGAUUUACUCGAGUCGAGCCCGAGCCCAAAAUUUCGGCUUGCGAGUCGGCUCGGCUCGGCUCGUUUACAUCCCUACAUAACAUCCAUCGCCAAAUUCCCUGGUUACAAGUGAUAUUCAUUAGUGUGGUCUUAUUUUUAUCAUCAUCGCUCACUCCAGUUUAGCACCUGCACAACAAUUAACCAUUAUCAAUACUAAGUAUUGAUAAACAUUUGUUGAACUUACCAACCGCAAGUACUUUUGUUCCAACAUUUGCAGGAUUGUCAUUAGUUGCAAUUUGAAGCAAAAUAAAAUCACCAGAAGCUAACUUCUCCCUAAUGAAGUGAUACUUCACCUCAAUAUGCUUAGUACGUUCAUGAUAAACAGGAUUUUUACCCAACAUCAAUGAACUUUGACUAUCAAUAAAAAUCAUAGCAUUAUCAUUCAAGAAGUUUAAUUCACAUAGAAGGCGUUUCAGCCACAUGCAUUCCUUUAUAGCUUCAUUUAAUGCAACAUAUUCUGUUUCAGUGCUGGAGAGUGUAACUAUAGGUUGCAACUGUGAUUUCCAAGUGAUACAAUUAUCACCUAAAGUGAAGAAAUAAGAAGCGGUAGAUUUCCUCUGAUCUUUAUCCCCGGCAAAGUCAGAAUCUACAUAUCCUUUAAGUUCUAAUUUGUUACUUCUUCUUUCAAAUGCCAAUCCCCUUUUCAAAGAUCCGACUAGGUACCUUAAUAGCCAUUUAAGUGCAGUCCAAUGUGGUUUACCCGGGUUAGAAAUAAACCUACUCAAGAAACUAACUGCAUAUGCAAGGUCCGAUCUUGUGGUAAUCAUAGAAUAUAUUACAGACCCAAUGGCAUUAGCAUAGGGAACAUUACUCAUUUCAUGCAUUUCUUCUACAGUUUUAUGACAUUGUGCAGAUGAUAAGUUUGUGUGUAAAGCUAAUGGUAUAUUUACAGACUUAGCAAAUUUCAUACCAAAUUUGUUUAUCAUUUUAUCCAAAUAAGACUCUUGAUUAAUAGUCAUCCUAUUAUCAACCCUGUUCCUUUUAAUAACCAUGCCAAGGAUUUUUCUUGCCUCUCCUAAGUCUUUCAUGUCAAAUUUCGAUUUUAAAAGGUUUUUCAUCUUUAUGAUUUCAGUUUUACUAGGACUAGUAAGAAACAUGUCAUCCACAUAUAAUAAUAAAUAAACUUCACAACCUAUUUUAGAGUUAUUAAAAUAUAGACAUGCAUCAAGUUCACUCCUCUUAAAACCAAUUUUAAGCAUAUAAGCAUCAAAACUCUUAUACCAUUGCCAAGGACUCUACUUAAGACCAUAUAAGGACUUUCUAAGCAAACACACAAGUUCUGAUUUUCCUUUCACCUCGAACCCUUGAGGUUGAGACAUGUAAAUCAAUUCAUCUGACUCCCCAUAAAGAAAAGCCGUCUUAACAUCUAGUUGCUCCAACUCCCAAUCAUAUUGGACAACCAAGGCUAAGACUAACCUGAUAGUUUUAUACUUAAUAACUGGUGAGAAUACCUCAUUAUAGUCUAUCCCUUCUCUCUGAGUAAAUCCCUUCGCAACCAACCUAGCUUUGUAUGUUAAAAGGUCUUUAGGUCCUACUCCUUAAUUUAACUUGUAGAUCCAUUUACAAUGGACUACCUUUUGAUUCUUUGGUUUUUUAACCAACUUCCAAAUCUCAUUUUUGUUUAGAGACUGGAUCUCUUCUCUCAUUGACUUUUUCCAAUUUUCAGAAUUUUCACAAUUAACCGCUUCCUCAAAUGAAGUCGGUUCAACUGACUCCAAGGUUUCACCUGAAACUAGGACAAAUUCCAUCAAAUUUGAAGAGAUGUAUUUCAAAUUGGGCUUCACUUGUCUUCUCUCUCUAUCCCUCACUAAUUGGUAAUCAUCCAAAUUAGUACCUACAGAUUUUUCUUGAUUAGGGAUAACAGUUUCGGGAAUUUCAAGUUCAGGUUGUUCUAUCACUGCUUCUUGAUCAGAUUCUUCUUGAAGUUGGAUUUCACUAUCCUCUAGAUUACCUCCUAAUCUCUUCGCCUCAAAUUCCAUCUUCUUUCUAGUAGAAGAUUCUCCUUCCUCAGUAUGUUUGUUCUGACUUACUAUGUUUUUAAGAUAAGACAUAUCAAGUUCAUUGAACUUUAUAUCUCUACUGUUAAUAAUCUUAAUGCCCUUUACUCCUAAAACCCACAGUCUAUAUCCUUUUACUCCCUCUGGAUAACCUAACAUGACACACUUAGUAGCCCUAGGGUCCAAUUUUCCCUCAACAUGAUGUGCAUAAGCCGCACAACCAAACACUCUAAUAUGUGACAAAUCUGGGGGUUUUCCAGACCACAACUCUUGAGGAGUUUUGAAGUUAACAAAACUAGAAGGUGACCUAUUUAUUAAAUAGGCAGCAGUGCAAACGGCUUCACCCCAGAAACCUUUAGAGAACCCAGAAUUAAUCAUCAUACAUCUGACUUUAUCCAUUAAAGUCCGAUUCAUUCUCUCCGCUACCCCAUUUUGUUGAGGGGUAUGUCUUACAGUCCUGUGCCUCAUUAUACCCUUUCCCUUGCAGAAAUUAUCAAAUUUGAAGUUGCAAAACUCUAAACUAUAAUCCGUCCUAAGAGUUUUCACACCCUUUCCUAUUUGAUUUUCAACUAAGGCAAGCCAAGACUUAAACUUACUAAAAGUUUCAGAUUUGGAUUUAAGGAGAUACACCCAAACUUUGCUCGAGUGAUCAUCAACAAUGGAUAGAAUAAAUCUAUUUUCUCCAUGUGUGUGGUGUUUUUCAGGACCCCACAAAUCUGCAUGAAUAUAGUCCAAUGGUCUCUUAGUGUUGUGUUCACCUGUCCCAAAGCUAACAUUGUGUAACUUUCCUAGAACACACGUCUCGCAAAAACUUAAAGGUGUAACACUAUCCUUACCAAGUAAAUUUUGGUCACUAAGGUAUUUCAAUCCUUUGUUCCCAAUGUGUCCCAUCCUCUUAUGCCAAAGAUCUGAUUUAUCUUCACAAGCUAAAGAUAAUGCCGACUCUUUACUAUCCAAGGUUUUACCUUGAAGGACAUAUAACCCAUUCUUCUUGGGACCUUUCAUAACCACUAGAGAUUCUUUACAAAUCUUUAAAAUACCAGCAUGAGAUUUGAACUCAUGACCUUCUUCUUCUAGAGUGCCUAAGGAAAUGAGAUUCCUUACCAGGCCUGGGACAUACCUAACACCUCUAAGGGGUCUAAUAAUGCCAUCAUGCAUCCUAAUAGCAAUAUUACAUACUCCUUCUACAUUGUGUGUACGAUCAUCUCCUAAGUAUACUUUUUUAGGAUUCACAUCUCUAUAGUUAUAGAACCAAGAUUUAACAGGACACAUAUGAACAGUAGCACUUGAGUCUAAUACCCACUCAGUGUCAAAAUCAAUAUUAGAAACAUUCAUGACAUGUAUGUUAUCACGAGCACCAUUUAACUCGGUGUCAAAAUCUCCUGACAUGGUCAUAACAUUUAGGCAAUCGAGGGAAUCACUUACAGCAAUUAAGUUCUAAUCGUCAUUUUGCGGCGGUCUUUGUUUCCUUUUAAAGUCAUUACAGUCUUUCUUGAAAUGUCCUAACUUGCCACAAUGGAAGCAUUUCUUACCACUCUUAUCUCUAGACUUAGACCUACCCUUCGAUUUUUCUUUGCCCUUCUUACUUUGAAAAUGGUUCUCCUUCGUCUCAUUCCUCCAUCUAGCAAACAAACUCUCUUCUCUCGAGCUACCCCUCGACUCUUUCUUAAACUCUAGCUCCCUAGCCCUCAAAGCAUCAGUCACAAUAUCUUGGGUCAAAGUAUCCCUAGCAUAUGUGAUAGCAUUCCUAACAUCUCUAUAAGAUUCGGGCAUAGCAUUUAAAAGUAUAACCGCUAGAUACUCAUCAUCAAAUUUCUUGUCGUUGUGGGCCAACCACUUGACGAGUCUGUUAAAGUCAUUCAAAUUUGAUUCAAGAUCCUUUUCUGGGUCCAGCUUAAAAUUAAACAGUUUUUGAAGCAAAUGCAUUUUGUUUGGAAGAGAUUUUUUCAAAAAAAGCUUGUCAAGUGCUUUCCACAACUCUUUGACAGUCUUAUGUCGUUCAACUUGUCCUAACACAUCAUCAGAUAAAUGCGAUAUAAUCAAACUAUGUGCAAUUUCAUUUAUCUCAAUAAUUUCAUCCGGUUUAGCUUUUAAUGCAUCGGGAUAUUUUUCCGGGUCGUCAAGAGCUUUAGGAACUUUUUGUUGAAUUAAAAUAGCUUUUAUUUUUUGCUUCCAAAUGGAAUAAUCUCCCUUACCAUUGAAUUGUGUUAAUUCAACUCGAGAGGCCAUAUUAGCAAAAUAAUGUUUUCGAAAAAAGUUUUACUUAGCCAAUUUAGCCACACACAAAUGCAAGCUCAAACCAAUUUAUAUAUAAAUUACUUUCUAAGAUGACAUAAAUGAUGAUAUCAUAACAAGUAACACAUAACCAAUAUCACAAGAGUCAAGUAAUAAUAUGGCAGCAAAUAACACAAUAUUUCAAUUGUAAAUUCGAGAGGGUGUUAGAAUGCGCAAACCGAGUGAACCAAUCUAUUGGUUUGUAUUUUAAGGAGAGAUACGAGUCUUUAUCAAUCUGAAACAUCUAGUAACUGCCCUAAGUCAUCCAACAGCUGUUGAAACACCAGGAAACACCACCGAGUAGCCAACGAAAAAGUUUCUCCGUUUUCACUUUUCUGCCCGAGACUGUAUUUGCUUCCACAGUGCACCAAACUGAAAUCCAACACCACCACAAGGUCAGAAAUUCAUCAAGGAACAAUCUGUCUUUUUUGACAUCCGGCUGAAAACUUCUCACGCCCCCUCACGCGCCGCCCUUGUUCUCUGCGUGUGGUCUCACGACGACGCGUGACUCACCUGCGCUUCACUGGAAUAUAGUGCUUGACGUCUGGAGUUUGGUGGUGGUCUCCGUUCGUCCACCAGAUUUGUAGUUUUUCCAAAAAAUGGGUUCAAAGUUUCUGCUGAACUUGUUUUCGAACAAAAUCGAACUCUUUUGACUUUCAAUACGAUUUUCAGGUUGUUUUAACACUUUUUACCACUAGCCUAAGCUCUGAUACCAUUUGUAGAGUUUAAAGUGUAGUAUAAAAAAGAUUAUUACAACUACAAUACGAAAUAACAAACUCUCAAAGUGUAAAACCGAACCAAACUCGACCCAAAGCUUCUUUAACACUACCAAUGAAGUGUACUUGAUGUUGAGCUCAGAUUUGUGCCACACCGGAUCAUGCAUCGUCGUCCACGGGAAUGGCAAUGGAUAUACCAAGAAAUGAUCCGUCGGAAGCCACCAAGAAUUUCGCCGAAGUUAUGGAAAGCUCCCACUUGGUUACUCUCUAUGUUCUCUCUCAAAUGUUAUACCAACUCCAAGUAGAGAGAAUGAAGAGGUCUUGAAAUUAUAGAGCCAAUUCAUUUGAAUUCAAAAUUCAAAUAUUGUACUAUGGUCUAGAGAGUGACAACAUUAGUAUAGGUAAUUGACCACUAGAUUAAAUCCAAUAUGGUCCAUAUCACCCCACAACUAGCACAAUACAAGUCACAUUCUCUAAAUCAAUCAACUUGCACCAAUAAUAUGUUGUGAUCCACCUUUCAUGUGCUUUGACAAUUUGUCAUAGCAUUUUUCAAUGAUUGAGGUUGUCUUUCCUAUUUGAAGAGGCGUCAAUCGUCGAGUUAUUGACAUUAGACAGCAUAACAUUAGUUAGUUUAACACAAAGUACACGGUAGAAUUUCUAAAGGUGCUUUUUACUUCGGACCGAAGUUGGCUUAUUCUUAUUGGCUCUUUCAAUAAAUAUUAUGAUGAACCUCGUUUUCCUUCUUAUUAUCGAAGGUGCACGUCCAGACUUGACCAGAUUGCUCAUUCGGAAUCCAAGUGAGACUCUAUCAUGGCUUGGCCCAAUUAAUAACCAACUAUACUGUGAAAUAGGAAAAUUUCAAUUAUGCUGUACAUAUACUCACAUUAAAGCCCCUUUCGGAGUAGUUAAAAAUCAGAAUUUAGUAAAUUUUGAUAAAAGUUGAUGAAAUGUGUUGAUGAAAAGUUGUGACCUUAUGAGAUGUGAGGUUACAAUUAAUUGUUGACUUUGACAUUAAUUUUUAUAAAAACUUUAAGAUACACCAAAUAGGGACUAAUUAGCAAGAUAUUGCACAAUAUCCAACUGAAUAUAUUAGAAGCAAUGAACCCUCAAUUGCUACCAACAUAUUUCAGCAUUUAUGUUCAUUACAUUUAAUGAUAUCCGCUCUCGUCUCCGUGUUUUACUCGGCAAUUCCCUACGAAGAUACCAAAUUAAUUGAUGGCUUUGAGCAACAACAAAUGGGGACUAAGCAUCAAGAUAUUGCCAAAUAUCCAACUGAAUAUAGUAGAAAUAAUGAACCCUCAAUCGCUACCAACAUAAUUCAACAUUUAUGUUCAUUACAUCUAAUGAUGUCUGCUCUUGUCUCCAUGUUUUCCUCGACAAUUCCCUACCGGCAGUGAUUUUGAAGAUACCAAAUAUUAAUUGUUGGUUUUGAACUAUAACAAACAGGGAUCAAGCAUCAAGAUAUUGUAAAAUAUCCAAUUGAAUAUAGUAGAAGUAAUGAACCCUCAAUCGCUACCAACAUAACUCAGCAUUUAUGUUCAUUACAUUUAAUGAUGUCCGCUCUCGUCUCAGUGUUUUCCUUAGCAAUUCCAACUGAAAGUGAUUUUGAAGAUUCCAAUUUUGAAGAUGGUUGGCUUUGAGCUACAACAAACAGGGACUAAGUAUCAAGAUAUUGCACAAUAUCCAACUGAAUAUAGCAGAAGUAAUGAACCCUCAAUCGCUACCAACAUAAUUCAGCAUUUAUAUUCAUUACAUUUAAUGAUGUUCGCUCUCGUCUCCGUGUUGUCCUCGGCAAUUCUCUACUACGGAAAGUGAUUUUGAAGAUACCAAUUUUGAAGAUGGUUGGCUUUAAGCUGCAAGAAAUAGGGACUAAGUAUCAAGAUAUUGCACAAUAUCCAACUAAAUAUGGUAGAAGUAAUAAACCCUAUGUUGACAUCAAAAAGUGUACCUCUAGGUGGCCAACAGAUCCUGAGACCUUCUCACGUCUUAACAAGCCAUUUUCCUGCACACUAGGACAAACUGUUAGACACACGUGGCCUUCUCUGGUAGGGGUGGAGCCGACCGAGCAUACUACGACGAUUAAGUCAAUUGGAGAAGAUGUAUGUAAGUGUGGGAGAGCUUAUAAUGUGAGCCUCCAAUAUAAAAUAAAGGGGGUCAGAUUCGGAAGUCAAUAAAAUGUAGAAAGCAAAAUUAUAGUAUCAAAGUCUAAACUAGCAUUACCUCUCAUUGACACUAAGUGUGAGCUUAUAUAGUAGGAAAUAGUGCGUGAAGACUGUCAUAUGAGGAAACACGUGGCCUCAUCCAUGUGGGUACAACCUCCUCAUGGGAAUAAUCAUAAGACUUGAAUGGUAACAUCAGUUUCCCUUUCAGAAUUUAUAGCUUGCGGCCAUAGAUUCAACCAACUAGGUUGGCGAUGACGGCGGUGUCACGGAGCAGUUAAAUCAGUCGUGUUACUAGAGCUGAUUUAGGAGGUCUUCUAUCAAUCAACCUCUUUAUUAAUUUCGUUGCUUUUGCCUGGGUUCCUGUAGGUCGAUUCACCCCCACUGGUUCGGUUGUGUUGGUUCAAAUAGGGGUGGGUUCGGUUAAGGAGUUCAUCAUUUGGUUCGUUAUUCCAUGGGUUCGACCGUGAAGGUUGCGAAGUGCCUAUGGUCUCGCCCACAAUGUGGUGUGUUCCGCCCGCCAUGUGGCAUGUUUGGGCCUCUGUGACGAACUGGGUAUAACAAUAGUUCUCGAAGUCCAUGUAUGGGUAUUUAUAUAAUGCGUGGACUUGAGAGGUUGAGAGGAAGCAAAAAAAUGAAUUAGGUAUAACAAUAGUCUCCGAAGUCCAUGUAUAGGUAUUUAUAUAAUGCGUGGACUUGAGAGGUUGGGAGGAAGCAAGAGACAAACGUAGCCCUUGGUAGGGACGACCAUUGGAAGAAGCAGUCCUUUGGUAUUAAACAUAGGAGGAACUGAUUUGAAGACGAAGUGACGUCCCUGGUAGCUUGAACGUCGUGGGCAUUAAUUAUUGUUGACUCUGUGAUGUCGCUUGGUUUUCCCAAGGUGGUGACCAUCAUUUCCAACGUAAGUUGCUGGACACGUGUUUCGAUUGUGGCAGUAAGAACUGAAACGUCAGGUAUAUUCGAUGAUCCCGAUCUCGUCGCCAUAUGAAUAGCCAGGAUCUUUGCAAUCGAAUGGUUGAGAAUGGUCACCAUUGCCUUUAAAAGGGGCUUUUGCUUUGCAUGCUCAUUGUGUGGCAUGAUUCGCAUGAUUUUGUGUAUAUGUUGCAUUCAAUUAGAGUACUUGUCAUUGGUUGAUAACGAAAUUGGGGUUGGUGUAAUAGAUUGCUCGGUUUUGGUAGAUAUUAUGGAGUGUAUAAACGACAGGAAUUGUGGGCAUAUUAUGCGAUUUUUUUAGAUCCAUGGGAAUCGUGAUAUAGUUUUACUACAAUCUUCUUUGAAGGCCCUGGGGGCAACAGAAUGCCUUGGGCUCUCUAGUGGAUCAUCAUGCUAUGUUGCAAUAGUGUGCGAUGACAUCCAAGAAGCCCUUAGUGGCACUAUGUGGAUCCAUAGGGUGAGCUUCCCCUGAGCAGCUACGCAGUCAUUUUGCCGGACCUUUACAAGGCAGAGUGUAUUGUAGCUGCAAUUUUGAGUUUCAACAUAGUCCUGAGGGUGUACAUAGUACCGAAGGUCGACAUAUAGAGCGUGCAGCCAAAAAGGGAGAGCUCCAGUGGUUCACUUGCUACGUAGUUGUAUCCUGUAGUGUCUUUGUAUUGUAACUGUCCUUUGUAAUUAAAACAAUGUAUUGAUCUCAAUUGUCAAUAUAUGGAAUAAAAUUUGUUAUUUUUGUUUUACUCGUGUUAUGGCUGCAAUUUAGCGAAACGUAUGUAGAAAUCAAAGUUGAAGUUAGGAGAUUUUCACUUAGUCAAAUUUGGGUUUGAACUGAGUAGAAGAGGCGAUGCUUGACAAGACGAGCCUAUUUUACUUAGUCAAAUUCGACUUUGAAUCGAUGAGAGAGGCGAUGCCUAUGAUGGGGCGAGCCUAUUGUACUUAGCCAAAUUUGGGCAUGAAUUGACGAGAAGAGGCGAUGCCUAUGACGCGGUGAGCCUAUUGUGCUUAGUCAAAUUCGGGCUUGAAUUGAUGAGAAGAGGCGAUACCUAUGACGAGACGAGCCUAUUGUACUUAGCCGAAUUUCCUUUGAGGCUUCAAAAUCGAAGCAUGCUGAACUAGACUCGGUAGUAGAGCAACUGACUUAAGCUAAUCGGACUUAACUGCAGAAGUCCACCUCUACCAGUCCGAGGUGAACCCAUUAACGAAGCAAGCUAAAAAUUCUGAUAAUCUGCAAAAGAUUGCCUCAUCUGCCCUAGAAGAGGCCAAUAAGAAGAGAGCAUAGUUGAAGGCCCAAGUUGAGGGGAUCGCUUCCAAAGCGGCAGGUUUGAGGCAGCAACUUGAAGGAGCAGGUGCUGCGGCUGUCGAACAAUACAUCGUCUACUUUCAUGAAAUAGCUGAGUAUAAUGACCUGGGGAUGUAUUGGAGGGGGUCGCCUACAACGAGGUUUUUAAGAGGCUUGCGGAGCUUCAUCUCGAGUUGGAUUUAACCUCUAUCAGGGACGAGUUCAUUCUGGCUGAACCUUCCAACAUUGUCGAUGAGGAAACAACUGGUGGAGAGGACGUAGAUUAGGACUUUACUUUUGUAAUCUUUAUAUGGCCGAAGGUGAAUGUAUGUAGCCCUGAUUUUUGUGAAAGUUUUAUUCGCUCCGCACUCGUUUCGCUUCACCGUUUAUAAUUUUCCAAAUUUGUGAUGUGACUUGAGUAAUUUGUUGUAUGUUCAAAUGUAUCAUAUAAAUGUUUACUUAGAGAACUAAACUAAGCAAUUUGCAGUAUAUGAACUUAUCAUAUAAACUUAACUUGGAGAAGACUAUGGGCUCGCCAUAGAUGAACUGAAUUAAGUAAUUUGCAGUAUAUGAGCUUGUUAUAUAAACUUAACUUGGAGAAAACUAUGGGCUUGCCAUAGACAAAUUACUUAACUGGUUCGCAGUAUAUGAGUUAUAUCAUAUAAACUUAACUUGGAGAAGACUAUGGGCUCGCCAUUGACGAACUGAACUAAGUAAUUUGCAGUAUAUGAGCUUGUCAUAUAAACUUAACUUGGAGAAAACUAUGGGCUUGUCAUAGAGAAAUUACUUAACCAGCUCGCAGUAUAUGAUUUAUAUAAUAUAAACUUAACUUGAAGAAGACUAUGGGCUCGUCAUAGACAAACUGAACUAAGUAGUUUGCAGUAUAUGAGCUGGUCAUAUAAACUUAACUUGGAGAAAAUUAUGGGCUCGCCAUAGACAAAUUACUUAACUGGUUCGCAAUAUUUGAGUUAUAUCAUAUAAACUUAACUUGGAGAAGACUAUGGGCUCACCAUAGAUGAACUGAACUAAGAAUUUGUAGUAUAUGAGCUUGUUAUAUAAACUUAACUUGGAGAAAACUAUGGGCUCGCUAUAGACAACCUGAACUAAGUAAUUUGCAGUAUAUGAGCUUGUCCUGGAGCCUUUGGAUAGGGGCUUUGCCUUCUUUGCUUGCCAAGUAUUGGUUUAAGAACGUUUUCUUGAGGUCAGGCCAACUUCUAAUGCUGCCAGUCGGGAGGUGACUAUACCAAAUUUCAGCCGCUCCUGUUAGGGUCAAGUGGAAAGCUCUGCAUUUCAGCUCUGGGGAGGCUCCUCUGAGAGACAACUGGGUUAUGUAGUUGUUUAGGUAUUUCGCCAGAUCCUCCUUUCUUUCAUAUUUGGGUAUCUUUGGGGGAACAAAGUGGCUUCGCAUUUCGGCAUUCCUCAAUUCUCGUGAAAAAUGGAGGCUAUCAUCAUCAUCAACCAGCUCGAAAGAUCUGUAGGGGCCAUCCGAUUCACCCUUCUUCAAUUGAUACCGAGGUAGGUGGGACGUCUCAGCCUGAUUUUGUAAGUUUUCAGCAUCCCUUCUUUCCCGCCUAUUUCUAGGUGGUCUGACCUCCUGGGGUUCGAGCCCUUGGGCGUACUCCGACUGCCUUUGGGUGGGUCAUGAUUGUUGUGGCCUAAUUUUAGUCCUCGUCGGACCGAUUUGAUCAAAGACACUGGCCGAUCUAUGUGUUCCCUAAUCUUGGGCAUACUCGGGAGGGAAGUUUUCUUCUUGUGGCAAGUUACCCGAGGUUCCAAUCGGAAUGUAACUGGAGGUCAUAUCCAUGCCUAUCUUUCUCUCACUUGGGUUUUGUUCUCUCAUGUGUUCCUAGGCGUGGGUCCCCGCAUGAGCUUCCUGAUAGAGAGGUUCUUGGUGAGGAACCCGGUAUCCCGAUUGUCCGUGCAUCUGCAUAAGCAAGUGCUGCAUUGUAGCAUUUUGUUGGGCAAUGUCCCUCAUGUUAGUUGCCACCUCUUGCACUUUUCUCGUUAGACGCGCUGUGGUCUCACCUCGUCUGUAUUGGUGGUGAGGUCGCCGGGUUGUGACGUUAGUAUGAAGAACUUCUUCUUCAGAGGCUUUCCGUCAGUGUCCCCUACUGUGGGAGCCGUAAUGACUAGAAUCAUGGGGUGUCGUUGACUGAACUUUGGGUGAUAAUUUCAAAUGUGUUGCUUUGGAUGUUCCAUUUCUCUCUGUCGUUCUUUUUCAAGAAACUGGUCUUUCUUCAAGAUCUAGCUGGAGAAAAAACACGUUUCAAACUGGCUUCACUGGGAUGUUCAUGGUUAGAAUGUGUGAUUUUUCAUAAACGACGUCAAUCUGUUGACCUCAAAAGGUGUACUUCCAGGUGGCCAACAAAUCCCAAGACCUUUUCACAUUUUAACAAGCCAUUUUCCUGCACACUAGGACAAAUCGUUAGACACACGUGACCUUCUCCGAUAGGGGUGGAGUCGGUCGCGCGUACUCCGAUGGUCAAGUCAGUUAGGGAAGAUGUAUGUGAGUGUGGGAGAGCUUAUAACAUGAGCCUCCAAUAUCAAAUAAAGGAGGUCGAAUUUGGAAGUCAAUAAAAUGUAGAGAGCAAAAUUAUAGUAUCAAAGUCUAAACUUGCAUUACCUCUCAUUGGCACUAAGUGUGAGCUUUUAUAGUGGGAAUAGUGCAUGAAGAUCGUCAGAUGAAGAGACACGUGGCCUCAUCCAUGUAGACACAACCUCACAUCAUGGGAAUAAAUCAAUCACAAGACUCGAAUGGUAACAUCAGCUUCCCUUUCAGAAUUUAUAGCUUGCGGCCAUAGAUUCAACCAACUAGGCUGGCGGUGGAGGCGGUGUCAGGGAGCAGUCAAAUCAAUUGUGUCACUAGAGUUGAUUUAGGAGAUCUUCUGUCAAUCAACCUCUUUAUUAAUUUCGUUGCUUUCGCCUGGGAUCUAUAUAUCGGUUCACCCCCACUGGUUCGAUUGUGUUGGUUCAAAUAGGGAUGGGUUCGGUUAAGGAGUUCAUCAUUUGGUUCGUUAUUCCAUGGGUUCAGCCAUAAAGGGUGCGAAGUGUCUGUGGGCACGCCACGCAGCGUGUUUGGGCCCCUAUGACGAACUGGGUAUAACACCCUCAAUCGCUACCAACAUAAUUCAGCAUUUAUGUUCAUUACAUUUAAUGAUGUCCGCUCUCGACUCCGUGUUUUCCUCGACAAUUCCCUACCAAAAGCGCACUCUAUUGUUCUAUGAGUGAUGAGUCCUCUCUUACUUCGAAUAUACAUAUUUAUAGGCAAAUAAAAUGUUCCGACUCCCAUCAAAUUACAAUAUAAUGUCCAUUAUUAGAAUAGAUGUAAAAGUUGUAGACAUGACAUAAAGUUUGAGCUAUGCCACUUCCAUAACACAGACUUAAAUAAUACACAACUCUUUAUGUUGGUAAACUUGCGAAUUGGACUCAACAACGGAAUCCCUGGAUCUCACAUAACACAAGGAAAUAGAAAAGAAAUCCAAUUUUUUUACUACAAAAAUACAUAAGUGAUCUAUUCUUUAACUUUCUAUAGUUUGUGUUGGAAUCUAAUUGAAUGUCCAAUGAAGUAAGUAAUAUAUGUUAAUUGUUCGUACAAAAUUCGCUAGCAUACGGAAUUGUUGACAAGUAAUAUUAAAGUGAAUUGACUUAUCGUCUUACGAAGAAUAAUGUUAAUUCUAGUUCACUACUUACGACUAAAUUCAAUAUUAGUGACACAAAAGAGGUGAUUUUGUUGUUAUUUAUACUAAUUCUAAACUAAGAAAGAAAUAAAAAAUGUUUUGUCAAAUAUGUGAGUGAUUGUAUUGGAUUUUGAAUUCUCCUAUUGCCAUUUAUUUUAAUUGUUGAUUCGUAAACUAGUCAAUUUUAUGCUUUUGGGACAAUCGAUAAAGUUAGUAUAUUUAAUUCUCUUUUCCAAUACAAUUAAGUUUAUUCUAGCCAUGACUUGAUCUUAUUCCUAGUUCGAAUUCAUUUGAUCAAAAUGCAUUAAAUUGUAAUUAUCUAUGUGACUACAUAUGUGAUAAAGAUUAUUUCUAGUUCUAUCUACAUAUGUUAAUUUUGUUACGUUCUAAAUUUAUUGUGAAUCUUCCAAUAUUAUAACAAGAAAUUAAUUAUUCAAUUGGUAACCAAUCAUUUAAAUAAUGUAAUGGAUAUGCAAAAUCAAACAAGAAAACUAAGAAAUAAUUAAAUUACUAGUCUUAAAUUAAAACAAAUAUGCAAUAGGGUUUAUCAUUCAUCCGAUACAAUAGAAAAACCUAGCUUAGCAUUCUAUUAAAUUAUACAAGAAAUAUUGAAAAAAAAUCACCUGAAAAGAAGAAAUAAUGAAGAAAGUGAAAAAAAUUCACUUUCUUGACUUGAAUCUUGUAAAGGGUGAAUAUUCUUCAAUAGUCUUGUGUAAUCCGCCUUGAUGUUGAUGCUUAGCCUUGUUCUUCAUCUUCAAAAUACGUAGAAACUGUGAUUUUUAUGUCUAAGAGAGGUCCUCCCACAUUCUGGACAAGUUCUAGUUUAUAUAGACACCCCAAAAAUGUCUUCCCAUGUAAAGUUUAAACGAAAUAAGGAAACAAAAAUCACGCCAAGUUUAACACUAUGCGACCACAUGGAGUAAGGAGGUGGGGCUGCGUAGGAGGAUUUUCAUUAGCUAAAAUGUGUUUUGAAGGAGUAGUUGCGACUGCAAGUGAUUUUAACUAUGCGGCCACAUAGUAUAAGCAACAUUUUUCGUCGAACAAUUUCAGUAGUUUAGCCAUAUCUUUCACUUCUGAUAUCCAAUUAGGUGAUUCAAAUUACGUCGAAAAGAUAACUCGAAAGGCUAAAAUCUUCCAAGUUUAUCAUUUUUUUCAAUUCAAAUGUUUGCUAUGCUAAAAAUGAGUCUUAAACUAAGACUGAAAAUUGGAAGAAUAUUUUUUUCAACUGAAAGUUGAUGUAUGAUAAUAUUUGACUAUACUUCAUCCAUUCGACUUAUUUUCCUAUACAAUUGACCCUUAACACUCAAAUCUUCAUAAUGAAGUUCAACACAAUUUUUAAGUACUUGCACUUAGUUCCUGAACUUUAGAUUUGCUUCAUUUUGACCAUUUUUCAUUCUUUCUUCUGAUUCCUUAUCCAAACGUGAGUUUUCAUAAUAAAAGUAAUAAAUAAUAAAUUAGGCACUUAUCCUCUAAAAAAUAACAAAAUAUCAUCAUUUAGAAUCCCAAAUAAGUGUACAAACUACACUUAUCAAAUCCUCAAACUUAGAUCUUUAUUUAUCUUCAAACAAAACUGAAACUCAACUAUAUUACAAACACACAAAUAUGCGAAAAUAUUUAGCUAGCUAACCCUACAUUAAAUCAUGACAUUGAAUCUAAGCACAACUUCAAGAUCAAAAUAUAAGAAUUAAAGUCUACUUUUCCAAUCUAAAGUCGACGUGUGUGAAGAAUUAAACAUAGUUUCAUGAAUUCAAAAUAUCAUAAUCACUUUCCACAAAGCCUUCAGUUUCAUCUUCCAUUCUAUUAUCACUAUGUCCUUCAUUCUCCAGUUCUUCCUCACCCAUUUUCGAGUUCUCUUCAGCCUGAUUUGGUUGGAAGUACCAACUACAACUUUAUACGUGAGUGUUUCCUCAAUUUACGACCACACCUCCUCUACAUUUUUAGGCAAAUAGUCACCAUUGUUCGUCUCACCCAAACCACCUUCAUCCACAUCAAACAUCAGGAUGUAGCAACCUUCUAUGGUAUUUUCACCCCCUUCAUUAGGGCACUACUCUCUAGGACCUCAGGCAAUGGUUCUUAGCAUGGUCUUUUGAGGUAAUGCAUAUGUCUAGUUAGGCACAACUACAUAAUUCUCUAGCAACCUAUGACCUUUAAGGUCCUUCAACAUCUUUCUCACAUCUGAUUCACUACGUAACCUCCUCAAAACACUACCAAACUCCUUUCCUACAGGUCGAAGUAAACUCCAAAAGGCCCACAAAUAUACUCAAGAUCUCGAACUAUUCCCUAUUGAAAUAAUCAGCUUUUACAAAGUCCACAAACAUCACACUACCAUUCGUACUUCACAUUAUUUGGAUUAUCGAAGAAUGCACCACUAGUGUAUAUAGCUAUAAUGAAGUAGUCUGUGUAUCCAGCUGGACGAUAAUGACAAGGGUUAGUACAAGAAUCAAUUCAAGACUCUUAGCAAACAACAUGCACAUACCUUUUACAACAAAUUCCAACAGUAACAUGUAAAAAAAUUGAAUUAAAAAAAAACAACAUUUCUCAAAUAGCAACAAUAGAGAAACUUACCAUACAAAUGAGCUUCUUCAAACCAUUUGAGUCUUGGAUCCUCCAUUCUCGAUAAUCACAAUGAAAUAGUAAUUAAAAAAAAACAACUAAUAUCAAGAUAUAAUUCCAAAAUUUCACAAAUUUCACGCACGCAUUUAAAAAAAGAAAACACCACUUCAACAAUUUAUUGUCACACUUUGGCUGAAGAAUGGCAAUUGUUGGAACUUUAGAAGUGUUGAAAAAAACCUCGAGUAUCAUGGGUGGAGUAUAAUCGGAUCUUGAAAUGUGGGUUAACAGCCUAAAGAAUCUCACGUUUCAUGUCGGUUCGUUUUGCACAAAACUCCCCUACUGGUUUUAGUACAAAUUUCACGCACGCAUUUAAAAAAAGAAAACACCACUUCAACAAUUUAUUGUCACACUUUGGCUGAAGAAUGGCAAUUGUUGGAACUUUAGAAGUGUUGAAAAAAACCUCGAGUAUCAUGGGUGAGUAUGAUCGGAUCUUGAAAUGUGGGUUAACAGCCUAAAGAAUCUCACGUUUCAUGUCGGUUCGUUUUGCACAAAACUCCCCUACUGGUUUUAGUUGGGUUUUAUUAAAGAGAGAAAUAAGAAAUGAUGCAUUUGUCCAUUCUGAUUUAUCUAUUUUCCCCUUUUUAUUGGAAUUUAACAGUAAAUCUGACGGAUCUUGACAGCAUUGAUGUUUAUCACACAAAAGGUUUCAAAUGUGAGGGAUUUCUGAGAUUUUCAAUAGGUAGGGGAUAUAUCACACAUAAAAACGUUUAUGGGGUGGUUUUAUACUAUCAAUCCUUUAUAGAUUGAGAACUAAUGGUGUAGUUUGUUUAUUUAAUUAUUGUUUUUGAUUCGUCACUUUCAACUUUCCUUUUAGCUAACAAAACAACUGGACUUUCAAAUUAUGGAGCCAAUCUAACGUAUAUGAUUAGAAGGAGAUUCAAUUGAAAUAGAUAAGAUAGAAUUCUCAUUAAAAAUAUGGAAAGAUGGUAUUAAUUCAAAAACCUUAAGAACAUAAACACAAUCUUUGACGAUUACAAUCAGUUCUAAUCUAAAGGCAUCAAGAUCUCUUCAAUCGUACGCUCAGUCAAUUGUACCUAUCUGUUUCAUCAUAAAGGCAUCAAAAAACCCAAUCCCUCACUCAUGAACGCGAAUGGGUUUUCUUCUAUGGACCAGAAGAACCCAGAUCACUUCAAUCAUUUCUUACCUUACAAAAGGAAUCGCUCUAACUCUUUUCCCACUAAGAAAUUUCACAGUUCAUCCAACCAGAUGCUGAAGAUGAAAGAAGACGCCGAACAGGUUCAAAGGAAAAUUUCUGUUAGAUGGAUACAUACACAAAAAAAAUGACAGUAUGACUCUAGGGUUUAGGCCAAGUAUUCUAUUUAUAUUCAAAACACCAACCAUUGAUCUGAGAUGAAUCCAAUAGUCCAAAGCAACCGACGCUCUCUCCAUUCAAGCAGCAACCACAAUCGCACUUCAAGAUAUACGAGUUAUCUGUUUGGUAUUGGGCCUGGGUUAUCGGUCAUCUGAAUGAAGUUAUUGGACAAUUGUUAAAUCUAGCUGGGCUAAAGGUCAUUUCAUCAUUGUCUAUUGUUGGACUAGAUCUAGCAUCAUAGAUCAACAAACAAAAUAAUAGAAAAGGAGCAUGAGAAACUAGGAACUAGAAUGUUAACAGAAAAAGAUUAAAUAGACAUAGAAAUCAAGAUGGAAGAAACUAACAAUAGAGCUAAAAUGGAAACAGAUCAAGAAUUUGGAAAAAAAAAAAUGCAUGAAUACAGAAUACGAUAUAGGAGGUAAAUGUCAUUUUCCCCCGCAAGAGACUUUGAAUGGAUCAAUAAAAAAUAUAAAAGUUUAGGAAAAAGACAAAUGAAAGAAGGAUGUAGUUUACCAUUAGCAAGCGAUAGGGGAUUGAUCUUAGAGUUAAAUAAUUGUAAACCAUAAGACAGACCUAGUACUAUAACUAAAUGGGAAAAUUCUGUAAUAAGAGCAUAUAAUAGUGUACAUAUACUGUAGACGAAAUAAGUGCUUACUUAGAAACUUAUUUAGGAAAGACUGCUUUAGAUAUAUACGUUGCAGCAAAAAGACAAAAACCAUAUGAAAUUAGAUGAAGAAUGACUGGAGGAGAUAACCCUAGAAAUUUUACAAGCUUUAUUAAAGAAUUAAUUAUAGGUUUUGAUCCCAGUGGAGAUAAUACUUAUAAACAAAAUAAAGGUUUAGAAGACUUAGAAAAAUUAAGUACUAGUAAUAUGAAAUACAUAUAACCAUUUUUGUUAGACUUUGAAAGAUUAGCAAGCGCAGUAGGAUUAGCAUUAGAUUACCCUACACUUCAAAGACUAUAUAGAAAGAUACUACCACCAUAGAAUGAUAAAAUUAGAAAAAAUGUAGAGUCAAACCCAACAAGGGAAAUAACUAUUAGUGCCAUCAUAAAAUUUAUAACUGAUAAAUUAAAAAAAAAUAUUAUGUAGAAGAAGUAGCUAGAAAACAAAUAAAGAAAUUAAAUUAUUCUUAUUUCUUAGAUUUAUAUACAUCAUAGACAUAUGAUUAUAGAAAAAGAAAGAAAUUUUUUUAUAAAAAGGAUAAAAAAAAUAUAUAAAAGGCAAUAUCAAAAUAAAAAGAAAUAUAAUAUUAAACCAAGUAAGACAUACUAUAAAAAUAAAAAUAAAAAACUCAAUUAUAAUAGAUAUGCUAGAAAAUCAAAAACUAAAAAAGACUGUAAAUGUUAUAUUUGUAGAGAACCUAGACAUUUUUUCUAACAAAUGCCCAAAUAAAUAUAAAAAUAAAGAAAAUACAGCUAAAUUUAUGAUAAUUGAAAAAAUACAAUGUAACAUAAUAGAACUAUCUGAUAACAAAACUUGUAACUUAGUAUAUAGUAUUUACACAGAUGAAGAGUUAGAUAAUUUAGAAAUAAUAAGUAAUUCAAAAGACAGCUAUGAUAGUUUAGAAGAAUUAGAUUUUUCAGUUUUAGAUAUAAAAAUGAUGAAUGUAAAACAAGAAUGUAUCCACGGAUGGAUUAGAGGACAAUGAUUAAUGAUGGAUAAAUGUAAAAUAUGCAAAAUAUACCUAGGACAUAAAAAUAGAAAUCACUGUAAGAAUUGUUUAGAAAUUCAAUUCAAUAAUUGUUUAGGGAGUAAAGAAGAAAUAAAUAAUAAUAAAAAUAAAGUCUAUAGUGAAAGCAUAGAAAAAUUAGAAAAUAAAAUAAUAGAUACUAAUAAUAGAAUAGAUAAAAUACACGAAACAUUAGGAUAAAUACAAUAUAUGAUCAAAAAUUUAGAAACAAAAGGAAAUCGGUCUCUAGAUAAUUACAUAGAAAAAAAUUAUUUGGAAACGGAAAAUCGGGAAGAAAUAAUUUGUCAAAUAUCUAGAGUGAAAACGACAAAAAGCAUCAUAAUACCUAUAGAAGUACAAAUAAACAAAAUGAUAAAAUUAAAUUUGAUAGAAUUAAUAGACACAGGUUGUACAUUUAAUAUAAUCAGAAAAGAUUUAGUGUCAGAAGAUUGUAGACAAAAAUUAGAAUAUGAAAUAAGAGGAAGUCAAAUGGACGGUAGUAAAAUGGAAUUCGAAUAGAGACUUUUUGAUGAUUGUAAGAUUAAAUUUCAAGAAAGACAUUAUAGUUUAACGACUACAUUAGUUAGUGCGUUGAUAAAAGAUGAAUUUGUUAUAGGUAUAAAAUUUUUGCUAAGUAGAAAUUGAAGUUUAACAAUUACUCCUGAUAUUAUAAUUUUUGGAAAAGACAUUUAUAUUAUUAAUACUUUAGAAUCAUUUGAGUUGCGAGCUAAGCGCGGUGGACCCUUACAACCAGAACCAGACCUAGAAAUUGAAGAAAAUUUAGAAUUUUUAGAUAACUUAUCUUUAGAAACUUCAAAAACAGAUUUAAUACCAAGAAAUGAAGAAUUAAUAAUUUUUUAAAAAUCAUCUUCCAAGAUCGAUAGUAUAGACAAAAUUUUAAAAUUAUCUGAACAUAUUCAAAUAAUAGGAGAAGACCCUAUAAAACAUUGGGAUAAAAAUAAAAUAGAAACUAAAUUAGAAAUAAUAAAUGAAAAUAUAAAAAUUAGAACAACAGAAAUAAAACAUACGAAUCAAGAUAUAAAAAAUUUUAAUAUACAGGUUAAAAAAUUAUUAGAUUUAAAAGUAAUAAGGCCGUCUAGUAGUCAUCACGGAUUAGCAGCUUUUAUGGUUAGAAAUCAUAGUGAAAUAAAAAGAGGAAAAAUAAGAAUGAUUAUAAACUAUAAAAAAUUGAAUGAUAAUAAUGUAAAAGAUGGAUAUAAGAUACCAAAUAAAGAUAUGUUAAUAAAUAAAAUACAAAAUAAAAAGAUAUUUUCUAAAUUUAAUUAUAAAUUUGGAUUUUGGCAAAUAAAAAUGGCAACAAAUUUUAUUCCUUGGACAGCUUUUACUACUCCAUUAGAACACUUUGAAUAGUCAGUCAUGUCUUUUGGAUUAAAAAAUAUACUCUCUAUUUUUCAAAGAAAGAUGGAUAGUAUAUUUAAUUCUCUUCCAUUUGUUUGUGUAUAUAUAGAUGAUAUUCUAGUACAUAGUAAAAAUUAUAGAGAACAUGUGAAACAUUUAAAGAUAACCUUGAAUAAAUUUAUAGAAAAUGGUUUAAUUAUAAGUAAAAAGAAGAUGGAAAUAAAUAAACAAAAAAUUGAAUUUUUAGGAAUAAUUUUGGAAGAAUGAAAUAUUCAGUUACAGCCACAUAUAAUACUGACAAUUUUACAAUUUUCAGACAAAAUUGAAGAAACCAUUCAAUUUUAGAUAACACAUAAAAGAUGGUUGUAAUUAUAUGAGAUAUUAAGCAGCUACAAAAUGAAUAUAGAACAUAUUAACGGAAAUAUAAUAUUUUAGUAGAUAAUUUAAGUAGGUAGGUUAUUAAUUUUCUAACUCAUUAUCUUCAUGAUGUAGAUGGAUCAAAAGAUGAUGAACUUUGGAAAUAUCACUCUGAGAGUGGCCUUUCAAGGAUCUAAUCUUCGAUUCAGAGGAAAUAAUUUAGAAAAACUACCAGAAAGGGAGCAUUGUCUAUUGGAUAAUCUCUGGAUGGCACGUGACUCUAAACAAAAAUUAAAUGGCAUUAAUAUCCUAGCUAACCAUUUUAGACAGAUUCAUAAUCAAAUAGAAAGCAAAAAUUUUAGUUUCUUUAUAGUAAUUAAAGGUAGAAAGCCUAGUAUAUAUAAUUAUUUGUCAGAAGUACUACAACAAGUAGAAAGAUUUCCCGACCCUCUUUUCAAAGGACUUUAUACACAUGAAGAAGCUUUAAAUUUUUGUAGAAAAAUGAUAUGAUUUCAUUUUCAUAUAUCCGAAAGAGUUAGACAAAUCAUGCAAACCCCCUCUUAAACUUCAUCGUCAUCUUCAUCAAUAUAACUUUGUGAUAGUUGUGAAAUUAUGACCAAAGUUGUUAGAAAUUUAAUUUUUAAAAAGCAUUCAUUAGAAGAAAUACUACAACUCCUUGAAGAUCAAAUUUCUUCAUCCCAACAAACUAUUAGUAAAUAUCAAAAUGAGGUUCUUAAAUUGCAUGAUAGUUUAGACAGACUUAGUCUUAGAGAUAAACUUGAAAAACCUAUUUCUAAAGAUAUCGCCUUUACAAGUAGAAAUUAUUCUGAUAAAAUAGAAAGACUUAUUGAACUAACAGAUUCUACAGCUGCAGGACAAGAAAAGACUUUAUACGAAUUAGAACAGAAAACUGGUGAUUGCGCCGGUAUUAUUCGAAAUUCUAUAAAGAAUUCCAUUGUACAGGAAAUUAUAGAUUUUGCUCAAAUUUUAAGUUACUAUCAUAAUGAAAUAGAUACUUCCUUAGACAUGGUCCCAAGUACGAUUCAGCCCAAAAUUCAGCCAUCCUUAGACACAAUUAUCCAACAAUUCCUUUGAUUAUACAAUCUUUGAAGAAGAAUACCUUUUUUUACCUAACUUUACGAUAGAUACUAUAUAUAUAUAUAUAUAUAUAUAUAUUAAACAACUCUUUUCAAAUUUUUCCACCAAAACUGAAACAGAUUCUUGAUCAGUUAAAGAACCAUCCUUUAAUGAUUCAAUUCAUUUCCAUACUCCUUGUGUAAAUAAUGGCAUUGUAAUUCCAAUUUAUUAUCGUGUUUUAAUUUAUGAAGGAGCCAAAAGAAUUAGACCCUCUUCAAGGACAAGUAUUAAAAUAAAAAUUAGAUAGAUUGAUUAUGAAAGAAGAAUAUCAGAAAUUGUAGCCAUUAUGGAAGUUAAAAAUAAUAAUUUCAGAUUAGUAGCACAAUGGAACGGCGGAGUUAUUUUCUACCAAGAGCACCUUGCCAAGAGAAUUAAAGUAGAAAAAAUUUAAGUACCAAAUGUUGAACAAAAUGAUUUAUAUCUGAUGGUGUUGUAAGAGACUAAUGGAGAAUUUAUAGUAACCCAAUCAGAUAAAGAAGAAGAAGCAUUUAUAUCUGAUGGCAACGAUAAUGAGAUGGAUCCAGAACAAGAAGAAGCCAUAGUAGAAAUGAUGGACAGAUAAGAUUAAUAAUUGAAAAAGACGAGAUAGAAAGACAAAGAAAUAAUUAUCAAGACAAUGAAGUCAAAAGGAAGAGCUUAAAGAUAAAGCUUUUUGAACAAAUUUUCAAACAUUUGUAAGUUGAUUCUCAGAUUUCAAGCAAAGUCAGGCGUGAAGACAAAGUUGUCAGAAGCAUCUUUUCAAAUAAUUCAUUCCUUAAUUACUCACAUGAAGAAUUGUACAUUAUUUAUUUUUUCUUUGAUUUUAGAUCGCACACCUGUAAAGUUUGCACAAUAUUUUUCAAUUAUUGAUAGCACACUUACAACACCAACAGAAUAGACGUGAUGUACCAGCGUCUAUAAAUACCCACUCCUCUUACGAAAGAAAACACGAAGAAAAAAAGCACAAAGCACACUAUCACACUUUACUCAAAAAUCUCUCCACCAUCAUUGUAAAUUCAAAGACAUCCUUGUAAAUUCAAAGACUUCGGAAUUAAAGUAAGUUCUUUUCAUAUCUUCUCUUAUUCAUAAUUUUCGUUCAUUUUAGUUAUUUUUCGGGAAAGGCCUAAAAGGAGAAACACCAAGUAAGUGAUAAGCGCGUUUUUGUGCACUUAUUUAAUGCACAAAUAUGACUAAAUUACAAGCAAAAUAAUUUAAUUGUGGUUUAAAUUCGUUCAAUUGUUGGGUAUAGUGAUGAACUUGAUGGAAUUCACGAGAAAAAGAAGCAAAAAUGACCAAAAUGAAUCAAAAUGAUAGUUCGGAGACCAAAGUGCAAUUAUCCAAAAGAUGAGCCCAAGGAGAAAUCGAAGAAUUUAUAAUGCCAAGUACCAAUUGGAGGUCAAUAUGAGAUGAUGAAACAAAAGAGUUGAAGAAAAGAGGUCAAGAAACAAGAAGAUUGAAUUUGGGGACUAAAAUGACACGAAAAGAAAAUUUCAACCAUGCGACCACAUGGAACAUAACCAUGCGGCCGCACAACCCCCAUUCGAGAUUAAAGUCCAGGAAAUUGAUUCAACCAUGCGACCGCAUGGAUUAACACCAUGCGGCCGCAUAAUGUAAAGUUAUGUCGCAAUUCUACAGUUUUCUUUUUGCAUUAUAAUUCUUUUGGAACUCGAUUGAGACGCGAUAUAAAAAUCUAGAGUUGUCAUAUUUAGGAGCAGAACGCAUUGGAAGGCAAGAAACCACAUAUUGGAGAGGAUUUUGAGCGCAAUUAACGAAGAAUUGCACGAGGAUUUUCAAGAUUUUUCAAGCAUUCAUAAUCCGUGAUGUUCUUUCUUCAAAAUCUGAUGUAUUCUUAUAGUUUAUCAACGCUAGGCUACAUUUUCAUGUACUAGGAGAUUGAUGUACCAUGUGAUUUGAUCUUUAAUUUUCUAGUUUUACAAUUUGACAUUAAAAACACGUUUUGAUUGUUUUGAAUGAUUUAUAUGCAAUUUUUGUUCCCGCAAUUAAGGGCCCAUAAUUGUGUGAGUUUAGGUGGCUUAUUCUUGCACUCGAGAGAAUCGGAAUAGGUUCGACAUAAUAUAAAUCAUCGUAGGGUCCGAUAGGGGAUAGGAAUAUACCGCUAUACCCUACGUGAAUUUAGUGUUCACAAGACCGUAUGCAUUUUUAUAUAUGCACUUGUCAUAGAAAUAUAGGUCGGUGGUAUGUAAAAAUAGGUUUGAUACAUCUUGAGAUAGAGUAUUGGAUAAAUUAGGAGCACUGAUUCGUUAAUAAUUUAAGUGUGUUGUCACAUUAUGAAAUUAGGGUUUAAGGUGAUAAUUGUAUGGGAAAUCGUGAUCCUAGUGUUUUUAAUUUCCAUUAAUACAACCAAUUCAUGCUCUAACAAAUAAUUUGCAUUUUAAUUCAUUAAAAUAUCGUUUUGCAUACUUGAGUUCAUUCCAAUCUUCAAUUUUGCAUAAUUAGGGUUUUCUUUCCAAUCUUCAAUUUUGCAUAAUUAGGGUUUUCUUUCUAAAAUUAGGGUUUAUUUAGGUAGGUAUUCAUAUUGAGUAAUUUCGUUUCGGUUAAAGCUACACUAGGUAAAAUUGAACUACUCAAUCUCUAUGGGAUGAUAUUCGGACUCUAAAAAUCACUUUAUUACUUGUUAACGAACCGUACACUUGCGGUGAUUUAAAACGAAAGAAAAUAUUUCGUGAACAAGUUUUUGGCGCCGUUGCCGAGGAUUGAGUAUUUGUUUAAUUUUAUCUAUAUUGGCACUAAUUCUAACAUCCAUAUUUACAUUUCCUGUUAUUUUGUUGUGUUUAUUUUAAUUAAUUUCAUUUUGGUUUGUUCUAAUUAUUAUUUCAUUUUAACAUCUAAGCACUCCUAUUAACUCUUCUCGCAGAUUUGCAUGCUAAGAUCUGCUGAAGGAGAAUUGACACCGGCUGAUCUAGAAAUUGAACGAACUUUCCAUCGAAGGCAGCGAGAAAAUAGAGAGGCACAUCAACGAAUGGCCAACAUGUAGAAUAAUCCAAUUUUUCAGGCCAAUGAAGAAGGGGUAGCGGAUGAAAGAAAUAUGCUCGUGGGAGAUUUCAUGACCCCUCAGAUAAUUCAAAGCCAGUGAAGCAUCAUAUAUUCACCAUUUGGAUAGCCGAACUUCAACUGAAGACUAAUGUGAUACAAUUAUUUCAAAAUGGUCAUCAAUUCUAUGGAAGGAUUGAAGAGAAUCCACACAUGCAUGUUUCCCACUUUUUGGAGAUGUGCCAACACUUCAGAUAUCAAGGAAUUUCAGAUGAUGCAAUAAGAUUAAGGUUGUUUCCAUAUACACUGCGCGACAAGGCAAUUGAAUGGCUAGAUUCGCAACCAAUCGCAAGCAUCACCACAUGGAAUGAUCUAGCCCAAAAUUUCUGCACUAAGUUCUUCCCACCUGCUAAGAUCGCGAAGCUCAAGCACGACAUCUCUAUUUUUCCCCAAGGUGACUCGAAAAUUUUCGAUGAAGCCUGGAAUCAGUUCAAGAAUACGCUGCGAAAGUGUUCACACCAUGGGAUUAGCAAGGGACAUCAAGUCUAAUACUUCUAUGCGGAUUACUUCCAGCCUUUAAAAGCAUGAUUGACUCAUCAUCGAACGGAUCACUGUCCACAAAGACAAUUGAUGAGGCAUUGCUUUUCGAGACCAUGGCCACCACUUCAACUAUGUGGAUAUUGAAACGAGCAGUUCAGAAGAAGACACUGGGGGUUUAUGAAGUGGACGACUAUUCCGCCUUGUCAGCAAAAAUUGAUUCAUUAUUUCACAAGGUGGAAAACAUGACACAAUCAACUACAGCAGCACAGUCGAAAAAGGCCAGUUGUGAAAAAUAUGGAGCUAAACAUGUAACAGUAGAAUGUCCAAUCUUGGUACAAGAAGUAAAACAGGUAGAUUUUGCUCAAUGGGGACCGCGACAACAAAAUAACACAUAUGGGGAAACAUUUAAUCCAAAUUGGAAGAAGGAUCCCAACUUCUCUUGUAGCAACCAGAAUCAAAACAAGUUACAGGGACGAUUUCAACAGCAAGAGAAGAAACCUCAGUUGGAAGAAAUGAUAGGAAAAUUCAUUGAGAAGGCUGAAGCUACACUUCAGAACUAAAAUGCAGCUAUCAAAAAUUUGAAAAUUCGGGUUGGACAAUUAGCCAUAGCAUUUGGCAGAGCACCAGGAAACUUGCCAAGUAACAUGGAAAUAAACCCGAAGGAGCAUGCUAAGGCAAUUACAACUCGAAUUGGAAAGCAACUACCAAAAAUCCAUGUAAAAAGGCCAGGUGUAAAUCAAGAAAUAGAAUUUCCAACUAUAGAAAACCCUAUAGAGCAUGAUGAACAGAUGGAGGAAUCCACCCCAGCUUAAAAAUCGGACAAAACACAGAGUAAGCAACCGUUAAGCCUUACGAACCUCCCAUACCUUUUUCACAGAGGCUGAAAAAGCAGAAGUUGGAGCAGCAAUGUAAGAAAUUUCUUGAAGUUUUUAAGAAACUCCACAUCAACAUCCCACUCGCCGAUACAUUAUUCUCGAUGUCUAGCUAUGCAAAGUUUCUGAAGGACAUACUAUCAAAUAAACGCAAGCUAGGGGAUCAGGAAAUAGUAAUGCUAAUAGAGGAAUGCAGCGCCAGAAUUUAGAAAAGCUCCCACCAAAAUUGAAAGAUCCAAAGAGUUUUACUGUUCCUUGCACUAUUGGUGAAGUUCAUUUUGAUAAAGCUUUGUGUGAUAUUGGUGUAAGUAUUAAUUUAAUGCCUCUAUCUAUUUUCAGGAAACUUAGCUUGGGAGAGGUUAAGGCGACUACUAUAACGCUGCAGCUGGCUGACAGAUCGUUAACUCAUCCCAAGGGAAUAAUUGAAAAUGUGCUUGUCCAGGUGGAAAAAUUCAUAUUCCCUGCGGAUUUCCUAAUCUUGGACAUGGAAGAAGAUAAGGAUAUUCCAUUGAUACUGGGUAGACCAUUUUUGGCAACAGGAAGAGCCUUGAUCGACGUUCAGCACGGGCAACUAAUAUUGAGAUUGGGAGAAGAGCAGAUCUCAUUUAAUGCUUUCAAGGCAAUGAAAAUACCUAUAGAGAUAGACAGCUGUUUCCAAAUCGAUGUGAUUGAUACGAUGAUCCAAGACUCCUUUUACUACACAACCCAUCAGAUGCAUAUGAAGCUUGCAUUGCACAUUUGCAGUCAACACAGUUUGAUUCAAUGGAGAUGGAAACUUGUGCAAGGUUUCUGGAUACCAACCCACCUUAUACGCGAAAAAGGCAUUUUGAGGAGCUUCGAACAGGACCUACGAAACCACUACCAUCAAUUCAGCAGCCACCGAAAUUAGAACUCAAGCACACCUCAGAUAUGCUUACUUGGGAGAAUCAUGUACACUCCCUGUGAUAAUUUCAAACACAGUAGUGAAGUGGAAGAAGAGAAACUGCUUAGGGUGCACGGGGAGAAUAAGACAGCAAUUGGAUGGACCAUAGCAGAUAUCAAAGGGAUCAACCCUUCACUGU